UCCUCCACCUCCUGCUAUGUUCUCACAGAAGCCUUGGAAGGAAAGUGAUGCUGGUACUCAGUGCUUAGGUCAUGGAGCAGAAGUGGUUUGCCCAUAUGUUUCCUCGAGGAGAAAAGGCUGAAUAAAUGAAGACACAAUACCAGACAUCCCGGGUGGCUUCUAGGAUGAUGCAUGACCUGUGAGUCGACCAUGAUCCAAGUAACCACUCAAGAAUAAAUAUCCACAAUGGCA